UCACUACUAGAAAACUAGGCAAUAGCCACCAAAAUUUGCAACCGAAAGAAAAUGGUAGCAAAAUCAGUUACCAUUUUUCAACCAAAAUAUUAUUGGUAGCAAAUACAUCUCAAAUAUUCAAAAUAAUAAUAAUUUAUAUAAUACGGUCGUAAAAUGGUGACAAAUAUGUAACCAUAUAAUGCUUUAUAGAAGUUGCCACCGUUUUUUUUACGGCCAUUCAGCUUGCCACCGUCACAUGCUCACAAUUUAAAAUUCAAAUCGCUAAUCGAAUCUCACAAACCCAAAAGCAUAGAAAUCCUGGUGAAAUAAUUUGAAAACCCACCGCCUCUUUCUGUCCCUUCUCGCCUCAAAAUUCCACACCCACACCCAAAGGCCACAAUCUCCUUACUGUGCGUAUCCACGUUACUAUUUUCCUCACCUUAGAACGGCGAUGAUGGUGGAACGGAUCAGUAGAGAUGAAGAUAGUGAGGUUGUGGUAGUCGGCGAAGGCGUUGUGGGUAUUUUCUGGCGGUUAAGCAGCGGCAACAACGUCUCUGUUAAGGAUUUAUGUCGAUUAAGGUUCCAUUUGGGCUUCACGUCUCUGUUAAGGCUUUGUGUCGAUUCGAGCUUUGCAGAUUUUGAUAACAAGGUAUUAAUUAGGGCUUCGUAUCUCAAUUAGGGUUUAGAAGUUUAAUUGAUGGGUUCAGGGGCUCUGAUCUUGAAGCCUGACAUAAAUCAACAACAUCCUAAAGGAUGAGGAAUCUGCUGAGCACAUAUUUACAGCAUGUCAAGUUGCGGCGAUCGUCUGUAAUGGUAUUAUUAAUUGGUGUAAUAUUCCAAAUAUUUUUGCUUUUUCGACGAAAGAUCUUCUCGGGUUACACAAAGAUAUUAGAGGUUCGGAGAAGAAGAGGGAUGCGGUUCAAGGCAUUAUAAUGACGGUCUGCUGGAGCUUGUGGAGGGCUAGGAAUAAUGCUAAAUUUUCGAGUGCCCCGGUUAGGAUUCAUUCCAUUGUUAGUGAAGUUAAAUCUUUGAGCUUUCUUUGGUUCGCUAAUAGGUCUAAACACAAAGGGGUAGAAUGGGGAGAUUGGUGUAAAUUUGUGAAUAUGUAAUGUUGUAGUUGUUGUUGUCGGCCCAGUUUGGGUCGGCGUUAGUGGUUAAUGAAAGUUACUUUCCAAAAAAAAAAAAUGUCAC